CCGCCGCCCCACCCCGCCCCUCCCCUCUCUCAUCCCCUAUCUGUGCCCACUUGCCCUUUGCUCAUCCCCAACUAGACACCUGGAGACAAACAGAAACGGAGUUCUCUAGGGGGGAGGGGACGUUGGGUUGGGCUUGGUUACCAUGGUGCCGCGAGGUGGGGGAGAGGGCUGGGGCUCACACUCCUGAACGCGGGAAAAGUGGAACUGAGGGCCAGGACGGAGGCUUUAAGCAAGCAGGUGCCUGUUAGGCCGUCCUGCGUGAGUGCGGAAGUCCUGUCUAUGCUCCCUGCAGGCGCUCUUUGUGUCUUGAAUCUCUUAAUUAUUAUUAACCCCCCCUUUAGAGACAGCUUGCCUCGGUAGCCCACGAUGCCCUUGCAGAAAUGUGUCACCACACCCACUGGAAUCCCCACUCUCCCUUCCCAGAGGCCCGUGUGUCACUGUGCUGAUGCAGAGCUUGCUUGAGAUCAAAGACAGGUGGAGCGGAGACGCCAGCUUUCCAGUGUUUGGCAUGGCGGGACCCAGGUGGAGAGGAGACGCCAGCUUUCCAGUGUUUGGCAUGGCGGGACCCAGGUGGAGCAGGAGACGCCAGCUUUCCAGUGUUUGGCAUGGCGGGACCCAGGUGGAGCAGGAGACGCCAGCUUUCCAGUGUUUGGCAUGGCGGGACCCAGGUGGAGAGGAGACGCCAGCUUUCCAGUGUUUGGCAUGGCGGGACCCAGGUGGAGAGGAGACGCCAGCUUUCCAGUGUUUGGCAUGGCGGGACCCAGGUGGAGCAGGAGACGCCAGCUUUCCAGUGUUUGGCAUGGCGGGACCCAGGUGGAGAGGAGACGCCAGCUUUCCAGUGUUUGGCAUGGCGGGACCCAGCUGUGCCCGAAGCCGGCGGUUCCCUGUUAGGAAGGGAGAAACUUAAACUUCAGUCGGUUCAGCUGGUUUUGUUUUGGGAGGGUUGCUUUUGUUGUUGUUUUUAUUUUCCCAAGACAGGGCUCAUCAUGUAGCUCUGGAACUUCCUAUGUAGACCAGGCUGGCCUUGAACAGUCAUCAUCCUGCUUCUGCCUGGUGAGUGCAGGUGUGCCCCACUAUUGGCAAUUUUAAAAGUCCCUAUUUUUAAUGGUCUCAGUCAAUCUUCUGUGACCAUGUCUUUCAAUGUUCUGAGAGAGAGAGAGAGAGAGAGAGAGAGAGAGAGAGAGAGAGAGAGAGAGAGAGAGAGCUCUGCUACACUGACCCUUCCCUUUCUCUCAUUAAGCUGCCUUCAAUUCCAUCUCUGUAGGACAAGGGGCAUCAUGGACUGCUGAAGCCCUCCUGUUAGAGGCACGUGCAGUGAAUGAAUGAAUGAAUGAAUGAAUGAACAAGUGCCAGCUCAGUGGACUGUGUAAGAAGAGAACAGUCUCAGACCAUACAGGGCAUCCUGGAAUGUUGUGCAACCCAAGUAACUAGUUACUUUUCUGUUGCUGUGAUAAAGCACCAUGGGCAAGACAACUUGAAAAGAAAAGAUUUACUUGGUCUCACAGUUCCAGAGGGAUAAGAGACAAUGGUGGCAGGGGACAGCAGACACAGCUGCAGGAACCGCAAGCUGAAACCUCACAUCUUAACCGCAGGCAGGAAGCAGAGAGCAAACUGGGAAGGGAGGAGCCCAAAUGUUUGAACUCUCGAAGCCUGCCCCAAGAGACACAGACACACUUCCUCCAGCGAGACCACAUCUAAACUGCCCAGACAAACACCACAACCGGGGAUCAAGUGUUAAAUGCCCAAGACCUUUUGAGAAUAGCUCAUUCAAACCUGACAUUCUCUGGGAUCAGUUUCCUCAUCUCUUGCUCAGUGGCUCAGUGAAAGUCCUCUUUCCUGGUCAGUUUUAACUGUCAAGUCCUCACAGCUUAGAGUCAUCUGAGAAGAGCCUCAUUUGAAGAAUUUCCUAGCUCAGGUUGGCUUGUGGGCAUGUCUGUUGGGACUUUCUGGAUUGCUAAUGGCUGUUGCAGGACCCAGCCCACUGUGGGUGGCAUCAUUCCCCAGGCAAGUGGACCUGGGAUUUUAUAAGAUAGCCAAGCAGAGGCAUGGGUGGCAAGCAAACAAAAAGCAGUUUUCUUCCAUGGUUCCUGGCCUGGCUUCCCCCAGUGAUGGACUGUGCCCUGGAAGUCGGAGCCAGAUAAACCCUUUCCUCCCAUAAGCUGCUUUGGGUCAGAAUAUUUUAUUAAAGCAACAGGAAAGUAGCUAGGACAACUAUUCAUCCUCUAAAUCCUGUUCUCCUUUCUCUCUCUCUGUAACCCAACCUAAGUUCUUAAAAAUAAACAAAAUCACAAAUGCA